rnacentral:lncRNA from 1 species
UGCCCUGGUCCAUCAAGCCCUAGGGUAAUUCUGGAGCCGCAUCUGAUACCCACCUCCUCCGGAAUCUGCAGGAAGAAAACACCAAGGGAAUGAAGUGGCACUCCUCUUUGAACCCACAGUACACUUCUGCCCAUAACGGUGCCCUUGUGACCCUCUGCCCCUCCAGACCCUCAACUUGACCUUGGCCUCACCUGGAACACGUGGAAGCCCACAGUGAGGGGUCCCCAAGGCCUCACCAGCGCUGGGCUGACUCCCACCGGAGUUGAAGCCUCGCACCCAGCGGCCCUGGAAGAUGUGGAUAUGCCAGCCGCCGCCAGCAGGGCUGGGGCCCAACACCUCAGGACUCAGUGAACAAAUCUGCACUGUGUUGAAGUGCGUGAGAAAGUCUUGAAGCUCCAUCCUGGAAAGCACCAGCCGUGAAAAGUACCCAGCCACUCCAGAGCCCGGCUUGAGGGGCCCCAGAAGUGCCCCCAGUUCCCUAAAGACUGCAGAAUAACUUCCAAUCUCCAGAAACCCCGAAGCCUUCAGGCCUUGGCAAUGUCUCCAAGUCCUCACAAAUACCUUAUCUCGGGAAGGAGUCACAAACGCCUCUCAACAUAUUCAAAUUAGCAUUAGAAAACCCGCAAAUAGGUCUGGGAAAAUGGCCGAGCCAAUAAAAGCCACUGCUGUCCAAGCCUGACAAGCUGAGAGUUUGACCUUAGCAUCUCACAGUGGAAGGAGAGGACUGAUCCUCUCACCACCAAUGGAGAAAUAGAAAAGUUUUAAAUUAUAUAUAGUUAAAGCCUCCCCAGAUUCCCCCUAAAUAUGGUUCUAUUCCAAUUAAAUCUCCCAAAAUCACUGACUCUA